rnacentral:rRNA from 1 species
CCUACGGGAGGCAGCAGUGAGGAAUAUUGGUCAAUGGACGAGAGUCUGAACCAGCCAAGUAGCGUGAAGGAUGACUGCCCUAUGGGUUGUAAACUUCUUUUAUAAAGGAAUAAAACGAGGCACGUGUGCCUUUUUGCAUGUACUUUAUGAAUAAGGAUCGGCUAACUCAGUGCCAGCAGCCGUGGUAAUACGGAGGAUCCGAGCGUUAUCCGGAUUUAUUGGGUUUAAAGGGAGCGUAGAUGGGUUGUUAAGUCAGUUGUGAAAGUUUGCGGCGCAACCGUAAAAUUGCAAUUGAUACUGGCAGUCGUGAGUACAGUUGAGGUAGGCGGAAUUCGUGGUGUAGCGGUGAAAUGCUUAGAUAUCACGAAGAACCCCGAUUGCGAAGGCAGCUUACUAAACUGUGACUGACAUUGAUGCUCGAAAGUGUGGGUAUCAAACAGGAUUAGAUACCCGGGUAGUC